rnacentral:siRNA from 1 species
UCUUUCUUGUUGCAUCACGAGAU